GCGGGAGUUUCGCCGGGUCGUGACUGUCACUACCGCUGUUGUGUGUGUUUCAGGUAUGGCUACUGCAUUUAGGUGCUCUCAUUGAUUGGGUCAAGGGUCAAAGCAAGAUGGCCGCCCUAAUACAGAUGUGUGGACAUUGAUCUAGCCAUAUCUAGCAGGCUUCUCGAUUGGAUAAGGCCUGCAAAUGCAUUAAAUGACAGUCGACAUGACUUCAAGCUUGAUAGAUCGGAAUACAAUCUAUCCAGCAUCCACAACUUGAUUCUGGAACUCCUCGCAUAAGCAAACAAAUGGUUACCUGGUUCUGGGAAGCCUUCCAUGCCUGAUGGAGAGUUUAUCAGCACAUACAAGGAUUUCUUGCAAGGCGCUGACACACUGUGAUAAGGCUAUCACAUCGGCUGCUAGCUGGAGGGCUGCCGACGUUGCUGGGAAGUCUAAUCAGCCACUUCUACACUUGCUGAUCCACCGCUGGACACAAGCGAUGAAGGGGUGAAGAUGCUUGUCACGGUGAGCAUGCCAUUUUGGUAAGCUGAGGGAAACGAAAGUCUGAUACAUCAACAAAACACAUUCUACAUCAUAAAGGUAAGUCUUUUUUUGUUAUUAUUAUAUAUGUUUGUUUCUGGAAAUGUUUAGACAUGGCUCACUUUAUUAAAGGGAUACAAGAGUGGAUUUGUGUGCCCCCCUCAAAAAAAUAAAAAAAAACAAAAUGAAUGCCAGUAGUCUAAAAUCAGAUAUACUGGAAUUUAUUUUCAUAAAGCUGUUUAUCUUUCCAAGUGUUAGUAGAUCUUGGAAAGCAUUCCUCGAGCAACGACUGUAUGUGACAGUCCCUGUUACAACACUGCCCCCUUGUGACUGGAUGAUCAACUUUGUGGGCAGUGCUGUAACACUAUGAGCUUCCCAACUGUGUGUGUUUAUGAGAAUUCACCAAAGAGUUAGGUUGCUCAAUUUAGGAAUGACCUAGUUGAUACAAAUCAAAAUCAACGCAAACUCAGAUCAUGACAGCAGCUUGGUUACUAUUUUUUUCUUCUAACUGUCUAAAUGUCCGGUGGCUCUCUUUAAGUGUGUGGUGUGGGUCAUCUGCUUCGGGCUUGAGGCAUCUUGCUUGGCAUGUGAGGCCGAUGUUGGAAAACUCGCCUCUCCUGAGCGAUGAUACGCACUUUAGCAUGGCACCCACCCCGAUUCAGAUACAGCAAAUCCAUCUCCGACCAGUCGGUUCCUGGUUUUUAGCUUUGUUUGAAUCUCUUUAUGCAACAUUGAUGUGAUUAUUUCCCCUCAAAAGGCCACAUUUGUCGUCCAUUAUCUCCAGAAGGAAUUGGAAUUGAAUCUUCUCCUUCUUUCUCCUCCUCUUGGGUCAUGUUGUCAUGACAACCGAGAUGAGGUAAACGUUAUGGCAAACCAUCACUUUUCUUGCUGUCUGACGCUCAGUCCACAGCGCAAUGAAGGUCGGGGUAUUGUAGAGAAAAGAUGAAGACACAUGGAAAAGGGAAUAGAGAGGAGUCACUGGCAGCGGGGUCUCUCGGGAUCCCCUUUUGCUGUUCUGAUACCGGUGCUGAGAUCUUGGCAGUGACACGGUGAUGACAGGAAGGCCUCAGUGGAUGAGGGAAGUCCAGUGUGGCGUCACCUGAUCAAGAAAAUGUCUGCGAGCAGAAGAAAUGCAAAUUAGAACAGUUCUCACGUUUUGGAUUUGAUGCUCUCCCCCCCCCCCACCACCACCAGAUAUAUUUUGGCAAGAUGUACCUUUUGUUCCCCACUGCUUGGUGGUAGCAAGGUUGCCUUCCAAUGGAGAUUACCAACAGCAUCGUAGUUGACCUGAUGUCCAAAUUUUUUUUGUGCGAUAAUUUGACACUAAAUAGUAAAAAAUGACAGUUGGUGUCCUCACCAUUCAAGCCCCUCUACAGCCGUCGACAUGCUAGAAAGGUUUAAAUCACUCUGAGAAACAUCCGUCCAUACUUGAUUUCAAGACUGUGGACAGAAACCGUAAUACCCGGUGAAAACGCAAAAGUAACACCAAAGCACCAGAGCACCUUUUUGACCCACCCCCCACCCUCGUAACACCAAACCACGUCUGCUAAC